UUUUUUUCUUUUCUUCUAGAAAACACAAAAACCUGCAAGAUGAAACUUCAUCCUCUCGGGGUCUCUCGCUCUCACUCUCGUUUGCUCUCUGCUCGCGGUAUCUCUCUCUCUCAACGUGAACAACAACAGUGAUUCUCGGCGGCCUCCCUCUCUCGAUUUGCUAACCGGUGAACAAUAACAACGAAGCUUCUCAAAUUCGUGUGCUCUCUUUCGUUCUUUUGCUCUCGGCUCUCUCUUGAUGAACAACACUAAGAAAAACGCUCAGCCACUCUCUCUUUCUCGCGAAAACAGUGACUCUCUCUUGGUUUAGUGACAAACAACAACAACCGAAACCUUCUCUCGGUUUGCUCUUCUUACGGCAACAACACUCAUUUUCUCUCUCGAUCUCUCUUCACUCGAGGUGGACAAUAAUGGAGGAGCACGGAAUUCUUCCUCUCGAUUCACUCUCUUUGCUAUCGGUCUCUCAUGGCUUGAGACAACAUACCAGAAUGAAUGAUAUUUUCAGUAGCAAUUGGAAGCAAAACUGAGAGUGGAGAUGAAAUCGACUUACCUGCGGCAAAGAGGUUUUUGCCGGAUUUUUUGUUGAGCUAUGCACAAGAAUAACAUAUUUGCAGCAAUGAUUAAACAAUAAUAUUGAGAGUGAAAGUGUGGAUGACUUACCUACGGCGAGGAGGUUUUCGCCGGUUUAUUGUUGAGGCUUUUGAUGAAGGUGAUGCCAUAACACCUCUCUUUGAACUUUUCUUCAAGACUUGAAGAUGGACUUCAAGUUGGAACUCUCCACACCAAGGUAUGAAGACUUUCUUCUUCACUCUCUUUCAAGAAACUUUGUAACUAGAAACUCUUAUUUUUCAAGUAGUUUUCUUUGGUUUGAAGAAUUGCUUCUUCUUGCCAAGAAACUUGAAAACUAUAAGAGAAAAGAGAGAAGUGAGAAAGCAAGUAGUUUUAGUUGCUUUGGUGUGAUUUGCAAUGAAGUGAAGCCUUCUAUUUAUAGGAAAAGUUAAGGAUGUGUUUGGCAUUUGGUAAACUUGAUUGGCAAGUUUCAAUCAUUGCAAGAUAAGAAAAAGAAUAAGAAUAUUCUUUAUGAGAUUUUUCUCUUGCAAGUGGACAUGAAAUAUCUUUGAUUCCUUUUUGAAUUAUUUCUUUUUUUUUGAAUUAUUUCCUUUGUUGGAUUUUUGCUAAUCUCACCCCUCUUUUUGUUUCUUUUUUUUCAUGUGACAUGAGUAUUCUUUGAAGAAAGAAUGAAGAAACUUGAAUUCCAAGAAUGGAGAUUUGAAGAUUGAAGAAAGUCUUCAAGAAUGUCUUUGUAGUUUUUUUUCUUUUUUCUUGUAAUUUCCAAUUCAUUCCAACUUUAAAA